AGUAAGGAAAUAGUUUGACAAAUAUGCUAUCUUUGGUCUGCGCACAUUCCUGCAGAUAGCUGAACCAGAUGUGGACUAGAUGUGUUCAAAACAAGGCUAGUCCAAUUUAUUACAUUUAUCAGAAAUCAAAAAUGCAAAUCAGACAUGUCCAGGCAUUUUGUGUUCUGAUACAAAUGAGAAGUUUUGUUCUCCCAUCAGUGUUAAACUGCUCCACCCAUGUCUAUUAAACCAUGUAAAUUCAUUUUGUUUCAUUUACAAAUAAAAUCCAAUUUUGUA